AAGCAAUUAGCUCAAUUAGGGUAGAGCGUUUCGCUUACAACGAAAAAGUUGAUGGUUCGAGUCCAUUAUUGCUUAC
rnacentral:tRNA from 1 species